rnacentral:rRNA from 1 species
AAAGGAAUUGACGGGGCCCGCACAAGCAGUGGAGCAUGUGGUUUAAUUCGAAGCAACGCGAAGAACCUUACCAGGUCUUGACAUCCUUUGACCACCUGAGAGAUCAGGCUUUCCCCUUCGGGGGACAAAGUGACAGGUGGUGCAUGGUUGUCGUCAGCUCGUGUCGUGAGAUGUUGGGUUAAGUCCCGCAACGAGCGCAACCCUUGAUCUUAGUUGCCAGCAUUUAGUUGGGCACUCUAAGGUGACUGCCGGUGAUAAACCGGAGGAAGGUGGGGAUGACGUCAAAUCAUCAUGCCCCUUAUGACCUGGGCUACACACGUGCUACAAUGGAUGGUACAAAGGGCAGCAAAACCGCGAGGUCGAGCGAAUCCCAUAAAGCCAUUCUCAGUUCGGAUUGCAGGCUGCAACUCGCCUGCAUGAAGCCGGAAUUGCUAGUAAUCGUGGAUCAGCAUGCCACGGUGAAUCGUUCCCGGGCCUUGACACACCGCCCGUCACACCACGAG